AACUUUCAACAACGGAUCUCUUGGCUCUCGCAUCGAUGAAGAACGCAGCGAAAUGCGAUAAGUAAUGUGAAUUGCAGAAUAGUGAAUCAUCGAAUCUUUGAACGCACC
rnacentral:rRNA from 1 species